rnacentral:rRNA from 1 species
AUUGAACGCUGGCGGCAGGCCUAACACAUGCAAGUCGAGCGAGCGGCGGACGGGUGAGUAAUGCCUGGGAAUUGCCAAGUAGAGGGGGAAAACAGUUGAAAACGACUGCUAAUACCGCAUACGCUUAGCUUGCCCAGGUGGGGUUCGCUAGUUGGUGAGGUAAUGGCUCACCAAGGCGACGAGCCCUAGUUGGUCUGAGAGGAUGACCAGCCACACUGGAACUGAUACACGGUCCAGACUCCUACGGGAGGCAGCAGUGGGGAAUAUUGCACAAUGGGGGAAACCCUGAUGCAGCCAUGCCGCGUGUGUGAAGAAGGCCUUCGGGUUGUAAAGUACUUUCAGCGAGGAGGCGUUACUCGCAGAAGAAGCACCGGCUAACUCCGUGCCAGCAGCCGCGGUAAUAC